CAAUUCCAGAAAACACGAGAGAGAGGGAGCUGGGAGCUCUGACCCGGAAGCCACCGCGACCCGAGAAGGAACCCGACCAGAGGGACGCCGUCCGGCCACCCCACGAAGGCGCACGGCCACUAGAAGCUUCGUAUCGGGGUCGCCUACGUCCCUGUGGUCCCAGAUUAUACAUGCAGCGACUGGAAACGGGGAUUCGACGACUGGAAGCCUUGUGCAAACUCCGGCGACUCCGGCCACCGUCAGAGCCGCUUGUGCCGUGUUCUUCAACACCGACAGCUUCUCCGGUGCUUCCAGCUUGAUUGGCAUGUGAAGAACGGUCUAAUCUUCGUGCUCUAUGAGUUAAUUGCUAGUAGGACGAUUUGAUGGUGGUAUUACCCUAGUAGCAGAAUCGAGGGAUUGGUUAGUCUGGGUUCAGACUGUCGUGUUCUUCGUCAGUAGCAUAAUAGCAUUGCUUUUGCAAAUCCUACCAUUGAAGGUAAAAACUGGAGUUAUACGUUUGGGUACUUCUCGACAGUUGAAUGAAUUGAUAAUCUGUUAUUGCGAUCUUGAAGUGGGUAUUUGAUUGAUUGAAUGUUGUAUAUGCUUGUUGCGUGUUGAACGAGACUGAGAAUGUUGUUGUGUGGUAAAUUUGUUGUUCUGCUCGUGUUGGUUAAAGAUGAUUGGUAAAUAUUGUUGGUGAAUUUGGCAAGGAAUAAAUAUUACAAUGGAAUAUAUUAGUUGUGUAUGU